CGAAAAUCACACUUCAGGAUCCUUUCUUAGACACAGUGAAUUAGAACUGAUAAGAAACAGGGAUGUGAUCUGGAAAUCUGUAUUUUUAACAAGUUCUCCCAGAUGCUCCCGACACGAAGCUGGAUCAGCAAUAUUCUCCCAGGAAGCUGAGGUCAAGUCAUGUUCCCAGGACUUCACUGUUGCUAAGGCCUCACUCACAGGAACGCACGACUGCCUCUUCCUAAGAGUCCUGAAACGCUACAUUUGAACAAAGUACUUCUCCAGGCUAAAUUCCUUCAAUUUACAGGACUUUUUAUCUCAUUAAAAAUACCUUACUGAUCUAGUGAUGAUUAACU
rnacentral:lncRNA from 1 species